CUCAAGUUAUGCCAGAGGAGGUUUAGGUUGGAUAUCAGGAAAGACUUCUUUACAGAAAGGGUGGUUAAGCACUGGAAUGGGCUGCCCAGGGAGGUGGUUGGGUCACCAUCCCUGGCUGUGUUUAACAGCCGUCUGGAUGUGGUGCUCAGGGACAUGAUUGAGCAGAGGGCUGUUGGAGUUGGGGUAGGAUGGUUGGGUUGUGGUUGGACUUGGUGAUCUUUGAG
rnacentral:lncRNA from 1 species